UACACCAGUUUGAUCACAACAACAAUUAAGGAUCUCUCACUUGCUCUUUCUCUUUACACCAAGAUUCACCCAAGAGCAAGAACACCAAAGAAGAAGAAAAAUAUACAAGAGAAAGCCUGUUUCUCUUUUUCCACAAGUCACCGAGAAGAACACCUUCUUCUUCCCAAUCUUCUUCUUCCGUCUCCUGCUUCAACGCAAAUGCUUUCUCUGCGCGUGACUUCUCUCUCUUGCGAAUAGGAAAGCCGUGCGAUACAUUUUAUCGCCAACAGAAAGUGGGAACGGUUUUGCAAUCGAGCAGGAGCGGGAGGAGUCGCGACCUUUCGCGACAAAGGAGUAACGGGCAAAGCGACGCGAAGCUUCACGCGCGCGGGAGCAGACAGAGGUGUCGAUUCGCGAAAAAUGGAGGAGGCGGGAGCGGGAGAUCGCGAUUCGCGAUCGCAGGAGUGGAAGAGGGUCGUACCGGGCUCCACUUCUAACAGGCUUUAGCAAAUGACAUGAAAAUGAAGCAAAGUCUUGAUUUGCACGUUGAGAGAAAAGGAUGGCUAGCGACUCCUUCAUCACUACAAGAUUUUCUUAUGAACAUCCCUCAUAGUCUUCACAAUUGUUUGCAGUCAGGAUUGAAGAAAAAUAAACACAAGCUUGAUGCUUUAAACUUUUUUACUAUGCAAGAAAAAAAAUUGUUAAAUACAUGGGAUGUUGAUUUAGAGAGUCAAAUGCAGCCGUGGAGAGAGAACCCCUAUUGGGUUGAUCAAUCUCCAGAACUUAAGGUUAGUGUACCAGAAGGCUCUCUUUGCAACUUAAAUGUCAAAUGUAAUGUUGGGUUACCUCCAGAUGCAGUUUUUAACAUUGUUGUUGAUCCUGAAAAUAAAAGAGUUUUUAAGAACAUCAAGGAAGUUAUAUCCAGAAGGGUUUUGGUUGAUGAGGGUCUAAGGCAGGUGGUGGAGGUGGAACAGGCAGUAAUUUGGAGAUUUCUCUGGUGGUCUGGAACUAUGUCGAUUCAAGUCAUGGUAGAUCAGAACCGGAGAGAUCAUACUGUCAAAUUUAAGCUAGGUAAAUCAGGCUUUAUGAGACGGUUUGAAGGCAUUUGGAAAGUAGAACCAUUGUUUCUUGAUCAGGAACUCUGCUCUCCUCGUGAGCCUAAAUCUUGGGCUGAGUAUGACGCCUGCAGUGGAGGCAAGGGGAGAGUUGGAUCUAUGGUCAGCUUAGAUCAGUUGAUCCAACCAGCCCUAGUUCCACCGCCACCAAUCUCAUGGUAUCUGAGAGGUGUCACAGAACGAACAACAGAAAUGCUGAUACAUGACCUAUUCGCCGAGGCUAGCAGAUUAAGGGUAGGAGCAGCCAUGAAUUCAGUUCCAAGUCAAGGCCUUGAGGCAGUUUCUGAUAAGAAAACAGGAUUUGCAGUAAAUGGCUCUACUGACAUCAAAGAGAGAUGGCAGCAAAGGCAAAGACUUGGGGCAGAUUCUGAUGAGAAAAUUGGAUUUGCAGUAAAUGGUUUUAUUGACAUCAAAGAGAGAUGGCGCUGUAGAAGUAGAAGAAAGCUUAGAUAGAAGUAGCUGCAAUCUUUUAUUUGCUAAUAUGCCUUGGUGUUUUGACAUUAAAGAUCAAUGGCGGUAAUCCAGAGUAGCUGUUGAGUGCAACCAAACUAUACAGGUAUUUUGUUGUUUUUGCAGGUUGUAACAAGAAAGAGGAUGAACAGGAAUCGAAUUGGAGAGUGGAGGAAAAUUUGGGCCAUCGGGACAUAGGCGCUGGCUACUGGCGCUUAGAUGCCAGAACCCUCUUAAAUUGAGCAAAAAUCCCGAGAAGACAGAAAGUUAGUGUUGUGCACUGGGCGCCUAAGCGCUACUAUGGGUGCCUAGGCACUAUGAUAGCCGCACCAUGACACUGGUCUUGUGAUGAAAAUUUUUCAAGUGGCGCCUAAGCACCACAAUAUUGGCCCUUAGGCGUCAGACCAUGUUUUCAAACUGAGAGUUUGGUGCAUAGGCUCCCGAAACUGAAAUUGGCAGUUGGAGUAGUUCAGACUUUAGGAAGGGGAGGAAAUAUAAAAGCUUUGAAAACAAAUUUGGAGUGGCUUUUCACCAUUUUUUUCUUCUGUCAUUCUCGAGAGGAGAAUUAGAGGAGAAGGCCAAAGCAUUAGCAAAGAG